rnacentral:lncRNA from 1 species
GAAAGGUUGAGCUAAGCUUUAUUUUUUCAGGAUAUAUUUUCAAAUGUAUAGGUUUUGAAGGCCAAUUGCCAAUUCACGAAUAUAUGGAAAUAAAACACAAGAGCAAAUGCCAAAUGCUUCUUAAAAUCACGGGGUUUUUAUAUUCAUGUGGAUAAUGGAGAGAGAUAAAAUGAUAGAUAAAAGCCCGUUUGGGUUUGUCGUGGAUUUCCAUACAAGACAGACAUUUUCUUAAGUUUCCAGAUUCUUCAUUUACAAACACUUGUCUAAUAUUUUAAGCUUCCCACACGGCAGCAGACAUUUCCUUAUUUUGCUUCUCGGAAGUACUUGGGAAAAGAUAACCCAAAAGAUACUUCUAAGUGAAGCCCGUCCUUGCUGGUUGACCUCAGGAAACCAUGGGAAGUGUGUGGCCAUCUCUGCAAGGAUGCUGGGUGUGAAAAGGUGAGGGGACUUCAACUGAUAUCCACCGUCCCAUGUCCUUGUGGAGCUUUGAAUAACACUUACUUAGCACCAUUCUUCGGAUGCAAGGAAGGAAAAGGAGAGAGCUCCUUCGAGUGGGAGAAGUGGAUGUAAGGGGCAUUUUAUGAUGCCUUGGUGAGGAGGGCAAAUCAAGAAAGUCCCCUGGAGCUGCUGAGUUCCUUCAAGAUUUGUCUUGAGAUUACACAACAAAACAGUCCCUCCCCAGGUGGCCAAGCAGAUGCUGACACCAUGCCCUUGGACUUUCCAGCCUCCAGAACUGUGAGCCAAGAAAAUAAAAAUGGACUGGAGAGCUAAGGUGAAGAAAAGACGUGUAUGUGUCCCUUAUUUACAACAAUUUCUCACCAGGAAAAGGUGGCUGCUCAGAAGUAGGAAGGGAAGAAUAAAACAUCCUUGCUUUGAGCUCGGUGUCUUGGCCUGGAUUUUCUUAAUUUCUUUGGUUCUGGUUUAGAUUGGAAUCCUCAUCAAGCUCAUUUGUUGUUGAAUAAAAAAUUUAGUGAUUGUUGCCUUUGUUGUUUACCAGUUUUCUAACCAUUCCUAUUGACUGAUGUGCAUGCAGUAAGAACAGUGGAAUAACUGGGUUUUCGUUUUCUUUCUUUCUUCAAGUUACUGAUGGGGUUUCAGGAUCACAGUUCAGAACUGAUCAAAAUAAAAAUCUUCCCUCCAGUUAUCUUAGGUCAAGCAGAUGUGAAUCAGCUUGUGGGUUUACCAGAAUGAUUUGUUAUUUUCCAUGGAAAACAAGAAAGUUCUGUGGACCAGCAGCUUCCUUCUGCCUCUCUCUCCUCCAGCACUUUAGUGCAGCCAUUGUGUAAUUGGGUUUCCAAAAAAAAAAAAAAAAACCUGAAAAAGUUUCUCAACUGCACCAACAUACCAGGAACUUGUACUGCAUCCAGAAAU